GACGAACGCUGGCGGCGUGCUUAACACAUGCAAGUCGAACGGUGAAGCGCCUUCCUUUUUGGUGGGUGUGGAUGAGUGGCGAACGGGUGAGUAACACGUGAGUAACCUGCCCCCUUCUUCUGGAUAACCGCAUGAAAGUGUGGCUAAUACGGGAUAUUCUGGGUCUGUCGCAUGAUGGGUCUGGGAAAGAUAUUGUUUCGGUGGGGGAUGGGCUCGCGGCCUAUCAGCUUGUUGGUGGGGUGAUGGCCUACCAAGGCGGUGACGGGUAGCCGGCCUGAGAGGGUGGACGGUCACACGGGGACUGAGACACGGCCCAGACUCCUACGGGAGGCAGCAGUGGGGAAUAUUGCACAAUGGGCGCAAGCCUGAUGCAGCGACGCCGCGUGAGGGAUGGAGGCCUUCGGGUUGUGAACCUUUUUCGCCAGUGAAGCAGGCCUGCCUCGUUUGUGGGUGGGUUGACGGUAGCUGGAGAAGAAGCGCCGGCUAACUACGUG
rnacentral:rRNA from 1 species